UGGGCCGCUCCCUGACCAACGAGGAGGUCGACACACUCAACACAGAAACACCUGAACACAGGACAAGGAACGGUAUCAAUGCAUAGAACCCAGGAAAUCUCACCGACAGCAGUUGUUGUUUCCACACAUGAGCACUUCUCGGCCCCCGCAGCAGAUCGUGCAGUACGACUGCUCUGGCACAUUCCUCCAGCAAACAGUGGGUGCUCAAGGCUAACAUUCAGA